rnacentral:rRNA from 1 species
UAGCAUAUCAAUAAGYGGAGGAAAAGAAACCAACAGGGAUUGCCCUAGUAACGGCGAGUGAAGCGGCAACAGCUCAAAUUUGAAAUCUGGCCCUUUCAGGGUCCGAGUUGUAAUUUGUAGAGGGCGCUUUGGUGUUGGCUGCGGUCUAAGUUCCUUGGAACAGGACGUCACAGAGGGUGAGAAUCCCGUACGUGGUCGACAGUCUUCACCGUGUAAAGCCCCUUCGACGAGUCGAGUUGUUUGGGAAUGCAGCUCUAAAUGGGAGGUAAAUUUCUUCUAAAGCUAAAUAUUGGCCAGAGACCGAUAGCGCACAAGUAGAGUGAUCGAAAGAUGAAAAGCACUUUGGAAAGAGAGUCAAAAAGCACGUGAAAUUGUUGAAAGGGAAGCGCUUGCAAUCAGACUUGCCUGUAGUUGCUCAUCUGGACUCUUGUCCGGUGCACUCUUCUGCGGGCAGGCCAGCAUCAGUUCAGGCGGCUGGAUAAAGGCCUCUAUCACGUAUCUUCCUUCGGGAUGACCUUAUAGGGGAGGUGUAAUGCAGCCAGCCUGGAUUGAGGUCCGCGCAUCUGCUAGGAUGCUGGCGUAAUGAUUGUAAGCGGCCCGUCUUGAAACACGGACCAAGGAGUCUAACAUCUAUGCGAGUGUUUGGGUGUCAAGCCCGGACGCGCAAUGAAAGUGAACGGAGGUGGGAACCCUCACGGGUGCACCAUCGACCGAUCCUGAUGUCUUCGGAUGGAUUUGAGUAAGAGCAUAGCUGUUGGGACCCGAAAGAUGGUGAACUAUGCCUGAAUAGGGUGAAGCCAGAGGAAACUCUGGUGGAGGCUCGCAGCGGUUCUGACGUGCAAAUCGAUCGUCAA